UACGUAGGUGGCAAGCGUUAUCCGGAAUUAUUGGGCGUAAAGGGUGCGCAGGCGGUUUUGUAAGUCUUAAGGUGAAAGUUCGGGGCUCAACCCCGUGACGCCUUGGAAACUGCAAAACUAGAGUAUGAGAGAGGGAAACGGAAUUCCAUGUGUAGCGGUGGAAUGCGUAGAUAUAUGGAGGAACACCAGUGGCGAAGGCGGUUUCCUGGAUCAUAACUGACGCUCAUGCACGAAAGCGUGGGGAGCAAAUAGG
rnacentral:rRNA from 1 species